AAAACAUGAAACUAUUAUUUCCAAAGACGCAAAGCUCAUCUAUGCAACCAAACCGACUAAACACAGCAAAAUUACAACCGAACCGUUCAUAUUCUUCACAACCAGAAACUAAACUCAGGUCCCAUAUUAGCAACUUCGUUACAUGAAGGUAGCAAGCAGGUAGGAAAAGCAAAAGGCAACUCAUGUCCCAACUUAGCAUGAAUCCUGGCGUCCGGAGGCACACCAUUUCACAUUUUAUUCUCUGCAUAGACAAGCAGCGGGGCCGUUCCACGACCGCAAAGGCCACGGGAAGGAACCAUGGAGCGGAGAUGACGCUCUACUGGGUCUUGAACAUGUGGCGGAUCAGGUCAACAACGCGGUUGCUGUAGCCCCACUCGUUGUCGUACCAGGAGACGAGCUUGACGAAGUUGUCGUUCAGAGCGAUUCCAGCCUUGGCGUCGAAGAUGCUCGACCUAAGUGGAAACAAUGAAACAGGAAAAAAAAUGAAUAACACAGCACAGGAACAAAACAACAUUCACUAGAAUUCAUCGUAGCACUAUAGUGGUGUGCCCUAGAAUAUCCGCUGGUUCCUAGAACUUGGAGGACCCAAAGCAAAUUUCGUGUACCUGCUGUCACCAGUGAAGUCAGUGGAAACCAAAUCCUCGUCCGUGUAACCCAUGAUACCCUUGAGUGGCCCCUCAGACGCAGCCCUGUAAAACAAUAACAAUCAAAUUAACAACAUUUCACAAAUCCCCAACCAAGAAGAAUGCAAGAUACAUGGACUCCAUGUCAAACAUGGCAACAGAUUAUCAUUCCAGACAAGAAAUGUAAAUACAUUGAUAAAUUAAUUUAAAACAAUAAACAAGAGACUUACUUGAUAGCCUUCUUAAUGUCCUCAUAGGAGGCACCCUUCUGGAGUCUAACGGUGAGGUCAACAACUGACACAUCCACGGUGGGAACACGGAAGGACAUACCAGUGAGCUUGCCGUUCAAUUCAGGAAGAACCUUACCAACAGCCUGCAGUAAAUUAAUAUACAAGUUAGAUGCAGAAUCACAAUUAAACUUAUAAGAAUAUAGAAUGGUUGCCAACUUUACACUAAGCAGAACCAAAGUUAAUAAUGAAGCCUUUUAACACAUGAUUCCAAGGUAUUUGCAUGCUCAUUGAUGUGAUUUAGGCUCAGAUACAUAAAUUAGUUCACAAAGCUAUGUAUAAACCCAAAACAGAGAAAUAAGCUAUCAAGUUUCUAUCACAAAUUAUCAGCUAGCCUAGCAGGUCAAAACAGUUUGCACAAACAAAAGACUACAGAAGAACUAGGAAAUACAGGCUCACUGUAUACAACAUUGUGAGUUUGUCAUAUACCUUGGCAGCACCAGUGCUGCUGGGAAUGAUGUUAAAGCUGGCAGCCCUUCCACCUCUCCAGUCCUUGGCUGAGGGUCCAUCAACAGUCUUCUGGGUGGCUGAGAGACAAGCAUCAUUCUGUCAUUUAAGCCAACUACAAGUAUCUUCUCAAUCCUAGGAGGAAAGACGGCUCAACAGACAACUCACCAGUGAUGGCAUGAACAGUGGUCAUCAAACCCUCAACAAUACCAAAGUUGUCAUUAAUAACCUGUUUUAUGAAGUUAGACAUCAUUAAUAACCCAUCUACAUCAGAAGAGCAGAAACAACUAAAAAAUGGCUCAAAGAAGAGACAACACACCUUAGCGAGGGGAGCAAGGCAAUUUGUGGUGCAGCUAGCAUUGGAGACAAUGUUAAUAUCUGAGGUGUACUUGUCCUCAUUGACACCAACAACAAACAUAGGUGCAUCUUUGCUUGGGGCAGAGAUAAUAACCUUCUUGGCACCACCCUAUUAUUCAAAAGCAAAAUGCAUGUGUUAGAAUCAUCCAGUUGAAACUUCGAGAAGAAUGCUGCGCUUAUGUGGAACAGGGUAAGUUACACAGCUCACAAUAACAAAAAGCGCAGAUACGGUGUAGACAGUACAUGCAUGUAUUAGAUCCUAAUCAUGACGACACUACCUUGUUUAGCUUCCCAGAUGUAUAGAAGAGUCCAAUAACUCUGCUUAUAACAAAACUAAUGGACAUUAAACAAACUGGUAACACUGGACAGUCUUUAUAGAAUAGAAGAGUGUAUUUCAAAUCUGUCAGGUUAUUAAAGCAUAUCAGAAUCAAAUGACCAAUUCAAUUGGAAGGAAGAAGCUACCACUAAACACAGCUGCGAAGAAAAUUUACUACUGAAAAUUAAGACACCAUUUUUUAAGCCCAACAACUAAGUGGACCAUCACUUAAUUUGUUCCCCGCAUGUAUACAAUCAUACCAAAUUCAUGCAUUCAGGAACUAGGGAGAACAAAAUACAUUAACUGCAUGCAUUCUAACCAGCAAUAGGAUUAUGUGGCAGCAAUUAUACCUUCAAGUGAGCCGCAGCCUUGUCCUUGUCAGUGAAGACACCAGUGGACUCCACGACAUACUCGGCGCCAGCCUCAGCCCAUGGGAUCUCCUCAGGGUUCCUUUUAUAUUACAGCGGUUUAAACAUUAGUUCACAACGUGAACACAGAAGCUCAAUCCAUCACUGAAAGCAGUAACAGGGGAUGUACCUGAUGCCAAAGACAGUGACCGGCUUCUCGCUGAAGAGAAGGGUCUUGGUGUCCUUGAUCUUGAUGUCGCUGUGCUUCCACUGGCCGUGCACGGUGUCGUACUUGAACAUGUAGGUCUGCACGAGACAGGAAGCGCAUAAAUCAUGAGCACAGCACUCAAAAUUCACAAUUCAGUACACUAGCAAAAACUAAACACAGAGCUAAGCACUAAAUCUCAAGGUGUACAUGCCCACAAAACUAAGCACCAAGCGAAGCACUAAAUCUGAAGCUGUAGACACCCACUGACAGGAUAAAUAAAAUAUUAUAAUUAAGCAACAUGACCAACAAAUCCCCCCAGAUCCAUGGAACCUCAGUAAAGAAUUGUAGUCAAACAACUCCGGAAGCCCACGAUUAACAGCAUCAAGCACGCUUCCUCACGAAUCGGCGCUGAACCCACCACAAAACCCCCCAUAAACCACCAGAUCUACGCACGACAGCGAACGAAACCAACAGAUCGAGGCGUGUACCAUGUAUUCGGUGGUGAUGAAGGGGUCGUUGACGGCGACGAGCUCGACAUCCUCGCUCUGGAGGGCGACCCUGGCAACAAGCCUGCCGAUUCUUCCGAAACCUGAGCCAAAUCACACAAACAAAAACCAACUCAGAUCAGUCCAGAUUCAACCACGCAGAGACCAAACAAGCACGUAGAGUUAGGCUGGCGGGUACAAACUCACCGUUGAUUCCGAUCUUAAUCUUGCCUGCGCAUCCGCAAAUCCACCCAGCAAAAACGAGAAAAGAAAACAAGUCAGCAAAGCCCGUCCAGGCUAGAUCCGAGUACGAAGCAUAAGAGAACAGCAAUUAGACGGGGAGAUCCGGGUCAGGAGCGAGCAAUUACCCAUGGCGAGAGGGGGUGCUGCGAGGCCGACGACGACGAGACGGGGAGGAGGGUGUGAGGAGAUGCGAGAGGAGGAGAAGGGAAGUGUCUAGAAGCGGAUAGGGUGAGGUGGGGAGGGGUUUAAGCGGCCGCGCCAUUAUAAAGGCUAGAGAGCGAGGGGAAGAGAAAAGGCAAAUUAAUUUUUUAUAUACAUUUAUUAAUCAAAGGAAAGGAGAGAGCGAAAUGCAACUUGGGAAAGUGCCGUCGGGGGAAAUUCUAAAAAAAUGGGCGCCAAUAAUUCUUGGAUGGAAUGAGGUGCGUGAGGUGGUGACCUGUCCAACCCGCCCGACUUUCUCCAGAAGGCUUCGGGAAGGUGGAAGGCCAGAUGACGUGCAGGCCCGGUCACCGAAGAGGCCCACGUGUCAUUGGUAAGGACGGGGGCGGGGAGGGGUGGACGCGCGUGGAUAGUGGCGCAAGCAGAAGAGGAGGAGGAAAGGCAUGUUUCCUCUUUAUUCUUUUCUUGGGGAACAAUAAUGGCGGUAAAGAAACCCCAACUUGAGAAAACAAAAAUGGUUCGGAGGAAAAGAAAAGGAGCAAUAGUGGUGGCCCUGCUUCGGCCGCCGUGAACGUGUCGGUAAGCGGCUAGGCCUACGUGGCGGCGAUCGGUCGAUCGGGGCUCGGUCUGGCCGGACGGAAAGCGGCCGGCGGCGCACGGGGAGUGUUUGGCCGGGACGGCGACCGGCGACGGCGAAGGAGCCGCCCGUCUGGUCGUGUUUGUCCGACGCCAACGGCAUCGAAUCCACGAGUCCGCUUUGGUACGUGGAAUCCCACUUUUUUAGUUUUGGUGGCCUUUCGAUGCUUCCAUUUGCUUUGCCGCACCAAUUUAAAAUUCAUCUUUCUAAUGAUAAGGUUUUGCAUAAUCGUAGUGUUCGUUUCAAAAAUUUUUUUCUUUUUUGCAGUACUGCAGGCUUACUCAGCAUGGCCGUAUCGGUGCUCACUCCAUUCGACGUGUACACGUAUCCUUACACGUAUACGAAUUACGUGUAGAGCACACGUGUUCCACCCUUGCCAGUUGCCAAGGGCAUUUUGUUUUGGGGUGGAGACAGCUAGGAGCGGUGACAGUCCACGUGAAAGCGACGGCCAGGUGCGGUGCCCACGGCGGAUCUCCGCCGCGCCGGGCGUCCCGUGCCCUGACGGCGAGCGGCGGCGUGGGGUCCCCGGCGGGCACCCUGCAUGCGCGGCAGGCGGAUAUGCCACCCCUGGCUGUAGAGAUAAUCUCGAGACUGCCACGGCGAAUAUGCUCCACACAUUCUUUCCCACCCCUUCCAGACGCUUCGGUCACUCGAGUCCCCGGCUGCCAGAGCGGGAGCGGGAGCAGCCGCUCGCGUGGUGGUCAUCGUCAUCGAGCACGACGCGGACCCGAGUUUGGAAGACGUCGGCGUCAGGGCGCGUCAGGUUCCGGACGCAGCCGACGGCCGCGGGUUUCAAAUCCCACCGGCGGCGGUCAGUUCCGGUACCGCCGGCCGGUCGGCCGUCUUUGCGUCCGCCGCCGCGUACGGCACCCUCUUUUCGUUUCUACAACCAAGUUUGUCAAGCUUCUGCACCGGCGCUUUGGAAAUUCGCGUGCGACCAGAAGCGUUCGGGCGUGUCAAGAACGAAAGGGGAAAGAGGAGGUUGCAUGGUCUGGUCAGCUUGUUCUAGGUGCAUCGCAUGAACGGAAAGGCAGAAAUCGGAAUCUUUUCAUCUUUUUUCCGCAAUCUGUGCAGUGCAGCAGCUUCGACGUUUUCUUUUUCGCUGUCAGUCAGUGUCUCGCUACGAUGCAUUUUUUUUUCCAACGAGUGUUUUCGUUAAACUACUACCAAUAAUUUCUUGAUCAAUGUAGCUUGAUGUCAUGCCGGCGUAAGAAGUCACGAGCGACGACAGUGGAAGGUGCCGCUGUUUGACAAAAAAUAAAGUACUUAAAAGUGUUUGCUAGCGUUUGUUGCAGACUUCAAGGCUGAUUACGUAUGCAAAUACCGGUAUUACCCCUUACUACUAUUAAACCUCAGUAGUUGUUGUUGUUGUUGUUGUUUGAGAGGAUUAAACCUCAUUAGUUUAGGCCGAAGGAAGCUCCGAGUCUUCUGGUGUCCCCUUAAAAAAGGCGCAUCAUGGUGCCAUCUGAGGAUGAAAAGCUUGAUCCAGAUAGAUUUCAGGCCCACUCCGGAUGAACGCUGAAAUUUGCUGGGCUAUGGCCUAUGGGCCUCACACAUUAGCAAAGCCCAAGAAAACCAGUCAUCUGUAUAUUUUAUAUAAUGGAAAACUCUUACGAAACCUAACCAAUUCGGAAAGACGGAGCAAAUUAGCAUUUUGCUUAGCGCUUGAUGCGUUUGCACUUUAACUUAUUUGAUUUGACUUAGGCCACGUUCAUACCCACAUUCUGUGUAUACGUGCUCCACCAUGGGUUGUAACACUAUUAGGUCUACUCAGGAAAUUUAAAAUAGAUGUUAUUAAGUUCUGAAGGAAACUCAAGUGCAUGGUUUACGAAAUUUGGUGCGCCAUGGCCCUGAUACAUUAGCAAAGCCAUUAAGUACAUAUUGAAAUGCGCAGGCCUCAGAUCUCUUUCAAACAAAAUUUCAGACUUCAGCUGUAAUGAAAGCUCCAGAACAACUUAAACCACCGAUGAGUCUAAGGAAACCUAAGAAUUUAUGCAUGCAAAUAGUUUGGAUUUCUGAUUUAUAAAUCUCUAAAAGCUUGAAACAAUAAAUUACCCGGCCUAAAGAAACAUUAGCUUUUCACCAGAUUAUUGCUGCUAGCUGCUGUCCUUCUGAUCAACCUCUCGUAUGCGGAUAUGCCAUUGGUCAUUACAGAAUACCAGGCACAAGCGCUAAAGGAAUUAGCAUUUGCUUAGCGCCUUAGUGGUAGGAGCCCGCCGACGCACUGCGCGAACGCGUCCUGGGUCGCCGCGUGGUUCUCGAUGAAGGAGAAUGUGCCACCCGUGACCUCCGAGAUGCCGUGCAUGGCCGCCGCGUCGUGGUCGGUGCCGAACCCGAACGCGUGCAUCGGCUCGCACCGGUCGCCGCCGGCGGCCGUCGAGCACCUUGGCGGCCUCGUCGAGGCCGCCGCGGAUGUUGGUGCAUCCGUCCGCGACGAGGGUCUCCACGGCGCGCGUCGGAGUCGAAGGCGACGACGCUGAGGCGGUCGCCGGCGCCGAGGUUGUCGAUGACGAACCCCAUGGCGCGUUUCACCAGCGCCAGCUUCUCGCCCGACAUGCUGGUGCUGACGUCGAGCACCGUGACGAGGUCCAGCGGCGCUCUCGCCGACGCGGCCUCGGCGGCGGCGGCCACCGCCGCGGGCGCUUUGGCGUGCACCAGCACCGCGAACCCGUCGCGCCCCGCCGCCAUGGAGAGCGCCGGGUACUCGCAGUACGUCUUGAGCACCAGCAGCCCUCCGCCCGUCGCGGCGUUGCGGUUGCCGCCGCCACUGAUCUCGGCGUGCGCGGGCGGCGGCUCCACCGGCUCGUCGUCGUCGUACGAUGAGCCGCCGCCGCCGGCGGCGGCGGGCGUGUCGCUCCAGCGCGCGCCGCAGACGGGGCAGACGGCGCUACCCGGGGCGCAGCGGAGGUGGAAGGUGUGGGAGCACUCGGCCGUGAAGAUGGCCUGGCCGUGGCCCAUACCACCGAAGCAGACGGGGCGGCAGCGGCUGCAGGGCAUGCCCAUCCCCGUUCCCAUCACCGUGGCCGCCAUGGCUGAAAGCGUGCAAGCUACGCGCUGAAACCGCAGUGGAUUGAUCUGUUCGCCGACCCAGCAGAUAAAGCUUAUAUACGAGAUACAGCCGCGCACAUGUACGUCCUGCGAUCGGCAGACAGAAAUAAGGGAAGGCAGCUGGGACGCAGGAGCAUCCGAGGGGAGAGACGAGAGAAACGUAGCUAAGUUUGCACGCGGUUACACAGUGACAACUACUGAUCUGACUACAUGCUUAUGUGCCUUACAGUACACAAAGUGACGCAAAUAAAGAAGCCAACUAGUUACUGCUUUGAUCCCGUCGCGGUGGUGCAGACGGCGAGGCAGGCGAGGUAGAAGAUGGCCGAGUCCGCGGCGUCGCCCCGGCCGUCGCCGCCGGAGCAGAGGUAGCCGCGCUUGAAGCGGCGGCGGCCCUGCUGCUCGCUGCACCGCAGCACCUGCGCCUUGAUCGCCAUGAUCGCGUCGCGCCUCCCCUUGUCCUUCCUCGCCGUCUCCGUGGCUGCUUGCUCGCUCGCGGCAGAGCCGCCAUGCCUGACGACCCUCUGCACCAUUUCCCCGCGUGGCCUCUGGAUAUGGAUUUGGACACCGUUGGUAUAUUCUUUACCUGAGCCUGAUGGUUGUGUGGGGGGUCGACGUCUUUUAUAGCAGAAGCAGAACACAAGGUAGGCAGUCCUCAAGAAUGAAGGACGACCAGCAAGGAGUAGGGCCGUGGCAACCGUUAUGGCAUCAGUGCUAUAUUUAAUGAUCGUAUUGUCCAUAGAUCUCAAUUUGAGAGGACGACAACA
rnacentral:lncRNA from 1 species